UAAACUGUCUCCUCUCUCCAAUCAGUGAAACUGAUCUUCCCGUGAAGAAGCGGGAAUAAUUUUAUAAGACGAGAAGACCCCAUGGAGCUUUAAACCCAUCUACACUCCUAAUUCUUACUUCUUUAUAACUACAGGACCCUGUACUAUGGUUUUAGGUUGGGGUGACCGCGGAGCACAACUAAGCCUCCACGAUGAACGGAGUAAUCCCCUUAUCUAAGAACUCCAUUUCUAAGAACUAAUAUUUUAACAUUAAAUGAUCCGAUAUUCGAUCAACGAACCAAGUUACCCUGGGGAUAACAGCGCAAUCCACUUCAAGAGCCCCUAUCGACAAGUGGGUUUACGACCUCGAUGUUGGAUCAGGGUAUCCCAGUGGUGCAGCAGUCACUAAAGGUUCGUUUGUUCAACGAUUAAAAC
rnacentral:rRNA from 1 species